GACGAACGCUGGCGGCGUGCUUAACACAUGCAAGUCGAACGGAAAGGCCCUGCUUUUGUGGGGUGCUCGAGUGGCGAACGGGUGAGUAACACGUGAGUAACCUGCCCUUUACUUUGGGAUAACUUCAGGAAACUGGGGCUAAUACCGGAUAGGAGCUCCUGCUGCAUGGUGGGGGUUGGAAAGUUUCGGCGGUUGGGGAUGGACUCGCGGCUUAUCAGCUUGUUGGUGGGGUAGUGGCUUACCAAGGCUUUGACGGGUAGCCGGCCUGAGAGGGUGACCGGCCACAGUGGGACUGAGAUACGGCCCAGACUCAUACGGGAGGAAGCAGUGGGGAAUAGUGCACAAUGGGCGGAAGCCUGAUGCAGCAACGCCGCGUGCUGGAUGACGGCCUUCGGGUUGUAACCCGCUUUCGCCUGUGACGAAGCGUGAGUGACGGUAAUGGGUAAAGAAGCACCGGCUAACUACGUG
rnacentral:rRNA from 1 species